rnacentral:rRNA from 1 species
UACGUAGGGGGCAAGCGUUGUCCGGAUUUAUUGGGCGUAAAGCGCUCGCAGGUGGUUCGUCGCGUCGAGCGUGAAAGACCCCGGCUCAACUGGGGAGUGUCGUGCGAUACGGGCGGACUAGAGGCCAGUAGGGGGAUGCGGAAUUCCGGGUGUAGUGGUGGAAUGCGUAGAGAUCCGGAGGAACACCAGCGGCGAAGGCGGCAUCCUGGACUGGUCCUGACACUCAGGAGCGAAAGCGUGGGGAGCGAUCCGG